AGGUAUGAAUAUGCAGCACCGCAUUAUACCCUGGGCAGAUGAUGGAUUUGUGCUCUAUAAUCACUAUCUGCCAAAUAAGGAAAAGAUGAAUUCUUUCUUAUUAACCUUGUUCACAAGGGAGCUCAGGUUGCUACUGACAUGGAGAAAAUAUGUGUGUGAUUCCUAUCUAAGUUAUUUGCUAUGAAUGAGCAGACAAACCACAACUUCCAAGGCAACUGAGCUCUAGUCAAAGUGAAUGACACUAAACAAAAUUGUCAGCCUGGAGUUGCAGUGAUGAUCAUGUUAGGAAAUGUAGGCUUAAAACAGAAACCCUAAAGAACAAUUUGUAAGGUGCCAAUGAUACUUAAACUUGGGCAAUGGAUAGACACCUUUUCUAAUUCACAGACCCUGGAAUGAGCAUGGUAAAAAGAAAAUCUUCAAUUAAAUCUAUUAAAAAUCUCUAUUUGGGGGGCUGUUGCUCAGCAGUAGAGCACUUGGCACCUGUGAGGUGCUGGGUUCGAUGGUGCAAUAAAAUAAAGGUAUUGUCCAACUACAAUUGAAAAAAUAAAUAUUAAAAAAAAAAUCUCUAUUUGGAAGUUCUGAUGAUUCAAGUCAAUAUUCCCACUCAAGCAAUAUCUCUGAAGGUGUUACAGAAGCCCUCUCUCUUGAAAACAGUGUUUUAGCAACAGGUCAUCUGCAAAUAUCAGCAGAUGAGCCGUCAGAAAUAUUUAAUAAUAUUUCAUAGUGAUAUUGCCAUGUUUUAAUGAAACAUCAACAGAAAAAAAUUUACAAUAAGGUAGGAGGAAUUAAAAAAAAAAAAGACCCAUUUAGGAUAAAGGCAAAUUCUCUGCGUCAAAACAAAUUAAGGUUGGAGAUAUUAUUUUAUAAUAUUUAAAACACGAGAAAGCUUACUAGAUCAUAAUUAAACCUAUUUUCUUCCUUGGCUUCCUCAAUGUUAAGUGCACAAAUCUCUAUUUACUUGCCUAUAAAGACAGUGGCGAUGAUGGAGGUCUCCCUUUCAUGCUAUAUCUUUUAACUCUAACAUGUUAAUACUGAACCCUCCAUUUCUCAAAUGAAUAACAGAAAUACCUUUCUAAAUAGUUUUUCUAAAAGUUUACACUUGGCAUUGGUAAGACAUAAUCAUUAUUUUAAAGGUAAGUUUGAAAAUGAUUGGUUUAUAGUUUUAGCCUAAUCAGUAAGUUAAUCCCCUGAUGGAAUCAACUAAAGUGGUAGGGUGUGACUGGAGGAGGUGGGAAUUAAGGGUGUGGCUUUAGUGUAUAUUGUAUCUGGCAAGUCAGAGUCUGUGUGAUGUGAGAUGCUUCUCUCUGCCACCCUCUCCCACCAUGACGUUCCGCCUCCUUGCUAACAUUUUCAAUAGAAAAUCUAAACAGCAAAGAGCAUUACUAACUCUUACCUUAUUU